CCUAAAACAAAAAGCUAAGCAAAAAACCCACUACUCUUCCGUUCCCCAGCUUGAUCCAUGAGCACCCCCUGCACUCCCCUCUACCUGCAGGUAUCGUUCCUCCCUUUUUCCUCGGCUUGAAGCAUCAAUGUCCAGUGUCUGUGAAAUGAUGUUUUAUCUGUGUCUCAGGAUGAGAAACGGCAAUCAUUCCACCAGGUGCUGGAAACUGGUUAGCCUUGAGACAAGGGUUUCUAGGGCCACAGCUCAGGGAUGUGUAUUUAAUUACAGGGUCCCCAGAAACCCCUCUCUUGGCUGCCACAAGCAACAGCUUCUUUUCUGGGCUUGGGAGCCAGACCCAGACUGUUUUCCUCAGAGGCAGGAGCCCCAGAGCAUAACACAUCUGGGAAUGAGCUGGGCCUUCCUCUUUGGCCAGACCUGGGCCGCCGUGAGCCCGGAAGACUUCUGGCUGUCCUGGAACAUGAGCCACAGUGGCCCUGCCUCUACCGGCUCAUGAGACACCUGGUCCCUCAGCCAAAUCCAGUCCCUGUAUGGCCUGCCUCCUACGGGCCUGCAGCCCUAAAUGGGCCCCAGCCUGCCUAGGAAUCAGUUGCAGGCUCAAAGCAAAGCUGUGAGUCAGGCCGGAGCUUGCUCCAAGCCCAGGAAAAAAGUUAUGUUACUGGUGGAGGCUGGUCUUCCAUAUCCUGGAGCCAGCCCUGCCAGCCAGAGUAUCAUUUUUGCUCUUUGGUGACCAUUGUUUUCUUUCUCUGAAACGUCUUAUAAUAGGUGAUAAUGUUGUUGAUUCAAAUUUCCAUGAAAAAGAAAAAAAAAAAAAAACUACCUCUUGACAUCCUGGUCGAUUCCUCUCUGAGAAAUCCUGUGGGAAAAGAACACUGCAGCUCCUGCUCUGUUUACGUGUUUCUGUGGGGAGAGAAACCCUGCCCGCCCUGGCGUGUUGGUGUUUUUGUCUGUGUUGCCAUCCCAGGCCUGCGAUAGGGGCUUGUGGGUGCGUUGUGAUGUCUGGGCCAUGUCUGGGGAGUCCUCCACACCUGCCCAGCCGGGGACCAGCCACCCCCUUGAAGAGGCCUCCUUUUCCUUCCUAUGAUUCAGGGCACAGGAAGCACCGCCUCCCACUACCCCACCGUCGGGGGCUCUGGUGGCACAUGAAUCCAUGAGCCUAGCACUGGGCGACCUAUCCUAGGUCCACCUCUACCCACAGUCCUGUGUAGGAAUCAAGUAAACGGAUGUCUCUGAGCCCUUGUCCCCAAAGGGCCGGCCAAGGGCUGCCCGCCAGCCUGGCUCCAUCAACCCUGCAUGACCAAAUGACAGUUGGCGGGCUCUGCAGGCUACCCAGGCCCUCUGCUACCUCCCACCCUGCCAGCUGGCAAGGGAUGGGCCCUUUUCUGUGAAUUGACUACCUGUGGAAAUGUGACCAAUUAGUGUGAAAUGCAUGUUUAGACAAUAUUAGGUACUGUAUUUGAACCAAUAAAUGUGAAUCCUGCACAUGG